rnacentral:rRNA from 1 species
GCCCCGCAGGGGGUCAGUAGAGUGGCAAACGGGUGAGUAACACGUGGGUGAUCUGCCUCAGAGUGGGGGAUAACGACCCGAAAGGGUCGCUAAUACCGCAUAACAUCCUGCCUUUGGAUAGGUGGAGAUCAAAGCUAGGGAUCGCAAGACCUGGCGCUUGGAGAGGAGCCCGCGGCCGAUUAGCUAGUUGGUGAGGUAAUGGCUCACCAAGGCAACGAUCAGUAUCCGGCCUGAGAGGGCGGACGGACACACUGGGACUGAGACACGGCCCAGACUCCUACGGGAGGCAGCAGUGGGGAAUUGUUCGCAAUGGGCGAAAGCCUGACGACGCAACGCCGCGUGGAGGACGAAGAUCUUCGGGUCGUAAACUCCUUUCGAUCGGGAAGAAUGGCUUCCGGGUUAAUAGCCCGGAGGAAUGACGGUACCGAGAGAAGAAGCCCCGGCUAACUCUGUGCCAGCAGCCGCGGUAAUACAGGGGGGGCAAGCGUUGUUCGGAAUUACUGGGCGUAAAGGGCUCGUAGGCGGCCAACUAAGUCCGACGUGAAAUCCCCAAGCUUAACUUGGGAACUGCGUCGGAUACUGGAUGGCUUGAAUUCGGGAGAGGGAUGCAGAAUUCCAGGUGUAGCGGUGAAAUGCGUAGAUAUCUGGAGGAAUACCGGUGGCGAAGGCGGCAUCCUGGACCGACAUUGACGCUGAGGAGCGAAAGCUAGGGGAGCAAACGGG